rnacentral:sRNA from 1 species
CACUCGCUGCCUCGGCAGCGCGCUGCUCUUCUAAGAUGGCUGCCGCUACCGGUGCGGUGGCAGCCUCGGCCGCCUCGGGUCAGGCGGAAGGUAAAAAGAUCACCGAUUUGCGGGUCAUCGAUCUGAAGUCCGAGCUGAAGCGGCGGAACUUAGACAUCACCGGAGUCAAGACCGUGCUCAUCUCCCGACUCAAGCAGGCUAUUGAAGAGGAAGGAGGCGAUCCAGAUAAUAUUGAAUUAACUGUUUCAACUGAUACUCCAAACAAGAAACCAACUAAAGGCAAAGGUAAAAAACAUGAAGCAGAUGAGUUGAGUGGAGAUGCUUCUGUGGAAGAUGAUGCUUUUAUCAAGGAUGGUGAGGAAGAAGAAAAUGAGAAAGGGAGCCUAGCUGAGGCUGAUCACACAGCUCAUGAAGAGAUGGAAGCUCAUACGACUGUGAAAGAAGCUGAGGAUGACAACAUCUCGGUCACAAUCCAGGCUGAAGAUGCCAUCACUCUGGAUUUUGAUGGUGAUGACCUCCUAGAAACAGGUAAAAAUGUGAAAAUUACAGAUUCUGAAGCAAGUAAGCCAAAAGAUGGGCAGGACGCCAUUGCACAGAGCCCGGAGAAGGAAAGCAAGGAUUAUGAGAUGAAUGCGAACCAUAAAGAUGGUAAGAAGGAAGACUGCGUGAAGGGUGACCCUGUCGAGAAGGAAGCCAGAGAAAGUUCUAAGAAAGCAGAAUCUGGAGACAAAGAAAAGGAUACUUUGAAGAAAGGGCCCUCGUCUACUGGGGCCUCUGGUCAAGCAAAGAGGUUUGUUUUUCUAUGUCAGUUCUUUACGAUACUGAAUUCCAGCAUUCAAUAAGAUCACUCUACAUUAAGGGGGUGGCUUCAAGAACAUGUACAGUAAUUAGUGUCUUAUGAUCCUGCCUAUAAUAUUUUUGACCGUCAUAAGUUACUUUUAAAAAUUUUCAAGAUCUUCAUAAUAAUGCAGUGUGUUCUACUGAUUGCAUUGUCGAAUGUCAGCAUAUAUUUGGUUUUUUUGUUGUUUUUUGUUUUUUGUUUUUUUUUCAAAUUGACAAUUUUUUUGUGUUUUAUUUUUUAAAAUCCUUGUGAUGAUGGUUAAUGAACAACUAUCAGUUCUAAGAACACAAAAUGAAGUCAAGUCCCAGUCCUGAAAUCUGGAGAAGAUGGCCAUAUUUCCACUGAAUAGAAUUGUCAGAAAAUCUAGAUCUUCAGGCAUCUUGGGGAAAAUCAGUGCAAGAAUCCUCAGGGAGUCAUUUGUUCAAAUAACCUAAUCUAGGCCUUUGGAAUUGUUAAUUUGUAUGAAUAGCACUAGUUUGAAAUAUAGUAAAUAUCAAGCUGUUCUGUUUUGGGUUUGUUUUUGUUUUUGUUUUCAAUUUUCUUCUGGUGAUUUGCCUCUUUAGCUCUUCAAAGGAAUCUAAAGACAGCAAGACAUCAUCUAAAGAUGACAAAGGUAAAGAAUUUUUUUCCCUAUUUAUUUCAGUGUUGACAUUGCGUAUUUUCAUUAAAAAGUAGUAGUUGCGCGGUGUUUUCUUUGACAUUUAGUCCUUAAAAAUUUUAUUGACAGACUAGAAACUUGAGAUGGUCUUUAUAUAAACUGUGGAAUUAUAUAUAUUACAGAAAACUGAUUGAUGUGUUACUGUUUACUUACUUUGUAAACUGGUAUGGGGUACGUUAAAAACCCAUUAGCUAGGAAACACUUACCUGGUGUGUUCUAAGGGACUGUGUUGAAUAUUAAUAGAUACUUUCUUACAUUAUAAUUUCAGAACUAUUUUAUCUUUUGUUACUCAUUUAUAACUACUGUGUAUCACCACAACCUUUUUCCUGUUCUGUCUUUAAAUAAUACUUGUGUGUAUUUGUGGAGUCUAGUGUUCUUUUUUCUUUUUUUUAAAUUCUUGUAAGUUUCAAAGUGCAAUAUUUAGUUGCUUUCUGAUACUGAGAAAUCUCUGGUUAUCUCAUGCCCAUGAGCUGUAGUUUCAUCUUGUACAUGUGCUGUGUUUACUUGAAAAAUACUUAAUUUCUAGAAAAGGAUUUUAAGGGAAAAUAAAACAUUCAGGUACUGCAAAGCUUUUAAAUACCUCCUAAAUGUGUAAAGGAGAAUUGUAUGCAUCCUCCAUAGUUUAUUUUAAAUCGUUAGAAAUCAUAAGGAUGUGAUUUAGGAAUUGGUUGGUCUUGCUUAAAAGAAUGUGAAAUACAGAAAUUGUUCCUUUUAAUUGCUUGUAUACUGUUUCUCUUAAAGUGAGUAAAAAUUAUUUUCCAAAUAAAGUCAAGUGAAUG